UCCAGGGGUGGGGCUCACACAGGCCCCGCCUUCUCGCCUGCCACAGCGCUAGGUGUGCGGGGGCGGAGUGGGCAGCACCAGCCAGGGAAGGCGGCUGCGAGAAAACCGCGGAACAAACACAGAUACCAGAGGAAGACACGGGAAAAGCACAGGGUUAGAGGCAGACACUGGGAAGACGCCCGCUGCCUCAAGGUCACCUUUGCUCAGAACCAGGAAGAGGACCAAAGCACCUACCUCCACACCUGUGCUCUCCUUACAAGACCAAGCUUCUGGACUAUGGCGACGCAGUAAGAAAUCGGAGGAAGGGGAGCAUCAGGUUGCAUUCCCCGCCCAGAACCACUAGGGGCCACCCUCCUCCGCGCAGAGGCGCCG